rnacentral:tRNA from 1 species
GAUUAUUUAGUUUAAAAUAAAAACAAAUGUUUUGAAAACAUUAAAAAAGAAAAGUUUUUAAUAAUUA